rnacentral:lncRNA from 1 species
AUAAAAGAAAAAUGACAUCAGAAAGAAUAGUGUCCAACUAAUUAAGUUGGUACCAUACUCUAACUUUUGACAAAUGCUCAUAUAUAUUAUUAAAAAAGGUAAAAAAAAAUUACAUUAAAAUUGUUGGGGGGGGCAUAAAACCUGGUCCAUUCAAUGCAUGUGAAUCAACCCUAACAGAUUCAAGCAUAAGGUAUACCGUACAAUUCUCUUGCCAGUGAAAGAACUCGUUUAUUGCAAAAUCAUUACACAAUGGCCAUUACGACAUCUAAGAUUAACCCCUCUAACUUUUCGACAAUCUUUAUCUGUUUUACAAGGAUUGUCUUGAAACCCAAUGAAAGUACAAUUGGAUACUAUCAUUUCAAGAAAUAUGGAAAGAAAUAGAAUCAAAACAUAAACCAACUUCUGAAUUUCAACCAUAUUUUUUCUUAUUUGGAUAAAAAAAUUGGUAGAUAAUUUGAUCUAUUUAUAGUGUAUAAAGUUCA